GAAGUUUGAAGAAAAGUCGUAACAAGGUCUCCGUUGGUGAACCAGCGGAGGGAUCAUUA
rnacentral:rRNA from 1 species